rnacentral:misc_RNA from 1 species
CCGAGUUUACAACUCCCAAACCCCUGUGAACAUACCACUUGUUGCCUCGGCGGAUCAGCCCGCUCCCGGUAGAACGGGACAGGCCCGCCAGAGGACCCCUAAACUCUGUUUCUAUAUGUAACUUCUGAGUAAAACCAUAAAUAAAUCA